GGGGGGGGGGGGGGGGGGGGUGGGGGGGGGGGGGGCGGGGGGGGGGGCCCGGCUGUGGGGGGGGGCUCGGGUGGCGGGCGGGGGGGUAGCACGGGAGUAGCCUGCGCUUGGCUUUGGGGUAACUUCAGGAACCUGGGGCUAAUACCGGAUCGGAGCUCCUGCUGCAUGGUGGGGGUUGGACAGUUUCGGCGGUUGGGGAUGGACUCGCGGCUUCUCCGCUGGUUGGGUGGGUAGUGGCUUACCAAGGCUUUGCCGGGUAGCCGGCCUGAGAGGGUGACCGGCAACAUUGGGACUGAGAUACGGCCCAGACUCCUACGGGAGGCAGCAGUGGGGAAUAUUGCACAAUGGGCGGAAGCCUGAUGCAGCAACGCCGCGUGCGGGAUGACGGCCUUCGGGUUGUAAACCGCUUUCGCCUGUGACGAAGCGUGAGUGACGGUAAUGGGUAAAGAAGCACCGGCUAACUACGUG
rnacentral:rRNA from 1 species